AUGGUGGAGCGGGGAGACGCGGCGCCGCUGCUGCGUUGGGCCGAGGGCCCCGCCGUCUCCCCGCCGCUGGCCCCGGACACGCAGGCUGGAGGCCGGGGCUGGGGCGGCGGCGGGGGCGGCCGGGCGGCCGCGGAGCCGCCGAGGAGGCGGGAGCCCGAGGAGCUGGGUCCCUCCCAGGUGCUGCUGCAGCCCGGGCGCCUGGAGCUGGGCGACGUGGAGGAGGACCAGGUGGUGGCCGUGUUUGUGGUCACCUUCGACCCCCGCUCGGGAAACAUGGUGGAAUGGUGCUUACCUCAAGAUAUUGACCUUGAAGGCGUUGAGUUCAAGUCUAUGGCCAGUGGGUCCCAUAAAAUUCAGUCUGAUUUCAUCUAUUUCCGAAAGGGGCCCUUCUUUGGCCUGGCCUGCUUCGCCAACAUGCCUGUGGAAAGCGAGCUGGAGCGUGGCGCCCGGAUGAAAUCCGUGGGCAUCCUCUCUCCAUCCUACACCCUGCUGUACCGGUACAUGCACUUCCUGGAGAACCAAGUUCGACACCAGCUGGAGACACCGGGACAUUACUCUCAUCUGGCUGCAUUCUACGAGGACAAGAAGGGGGUGCUCCACACCAGUCCGGGGAGAGGUGGCAGCCUGCCCCCUGUCUACUGGCUGCCUUCCAUCCACCGAUACAUGUACCCCGAGAUGAAGAUCACACACCCAGCUGGCUGCAUGUCUCAGUUUAUUAAGUUCUUUGGGGAACAGAUCCUCAUCCUUUGGAAAUUUGCCUUACUUCGAAAGCGCAUUUUGAUAUUUUCUCCCCCUCCAGUGGGCGUCGUAUGCUAUAGAGUGUACUGCUGCUGCUGCCUGGCCAACGUCUCCCUGCCUGGCAUCGGGGAAACCGUUCCCGAGUCCAAGCCUUUCUUCUACGUGAACGUGGCCGACAUCGAGAGCCUGGAGGUGGAGGUGUCCUACGUGGCCUGCACCACCGAGAAGAUUUUUGAGGAGAAGCGAGAGCUGUACGACGUCUACGUGGACAACCAGAACGUGAAGACGCACCACGCCCGCCUGCAGCCGCUGCUGAAGAUCAACAGCGCCGACCGGGAGAAGUACCGGCGGCUCAACGAGCAGAGGCAGAUGCUGUUGUAUUCCCAGGAGGUAGAAGAAGAUUAUAACCCUUGUGAAGAGGACCUCUUUGUGCUGUUUUUCCUAGAGCAAAACAAUCGGAUAUUUCAGACUUUGCUGGAGGUGUCCGCCAGUCAAGACAAAACUCUGACAGCUGAGCAUGCCCGGGGCAUGGGUCUAGACCCCCAAGGAGACCGGAGCUUCCUUAUGGACCUGCUGGAGGCCUACGGCAUCGAUGUCAUGUUGGUCAUUGACAGCCCCUGUUGCCCAUAGGAAGGAUGGGUUCACCCAGGCCCCAGAUGGCCUGAUUUUUAAUUAAGUUGACACAAAGGAAUACUGUUUAUACUUCCAACAAAUGUAACUUUUGCAUCUCCUUCCCUCCCUUCCUCCCAAGAGGCAAGAUGAGAGCACCUUGGUUUUGUAGGCUGUUGAAAGCUACCGCCUUCAGAGCUGCCGCCGGUUUGGUCUUAGGAGUUAUCAAAGCGGAUUCUCUCAUUGCCUUGUUGAGGGACUUGAGGAGAUGGGCCGAAGACCGCGUAUCGCCAGGAGCGGGCCGAGUUCUGGAAACGUGGGGCUGGACUGUUGAGAAAGUCCGUCUGGUCUUUGUCGCUCGACACAUCAAGAAUAAGACAGCUGUCUGUCCAGUGUGGCGUUGGAUGUCCACCUGCCUGAAGCAGAAGCUAGACCAGGUGAGCAGCACCCACAGCGUCACUUGCUGCCAGGUCUCUGAAAGGGGACUCCGUUGGAGAGGUACCAGGCAAGACUCCCUGCGCAGGGACGGCAGAAGCUAGAAGCCACACAGACCUGCUUUUGUGUCACUGUGGAAAUGUUUUCUGAGGAACCCCCUGCUCUUGUUUGGAAGCUUUGGAGAAUGUCCCCGUUCCCUGUCCUCCGUAGGGACAGGGCUUACUGUCAUUACUGUGACCUUCUGGAGCAGGUUGGGAGCCUCGGGUACCCUGACUGAUGGUGGCCUUCUGUCCCUCUAGUCUCUUGGACCACCUCCCUCCCUCCCCACGGCCCACUGCGCCAGCUGGCUUGGUCCUGCUGGGGACCUUUAAGCCUGAUCUAACGCCAAGCUGUGAGCCACGUCCUAACUUGGAAACACUGCUGACCUGAGACACGGGGGCUGCCAGGUCAUCCCUGGGUCAAGUUAGAAGAAAUUCUCGGUGGCGAGAGUCCCCGUGGGACCUAGAAUCCAGGCUUGGGGUUUGUUGAUGUCUGUAAGAUACGACAGAGUUCUGGUAAGAUGGAUUUUUCACUUGUGCAGGCUGGGCAGAUGGUACCAUCCAGCCUGUGGGACAAUGUCCAUUUGUCCUGUGGAUUAGGACUUCAGGAGUCAGCAGUGGUAGGACUUGCCUUUCACCAGACCAAAAAGUAUGGGCCAAAUAAUAGUUUAGAAUUAGCUUUGGCUUCUGCUAAGCACGAAGCACUCCUCGGGCCCGGUGUAGAUCCCUUCUAAUGUAAGCGCGUGUACGGUCCUCAGUGAGUUAUGAUUGCUGUGGAUCAGCAGGCAUCUGUCUCCCGGAGCCGUCGUUCAUCCUGGCAUCACGUCUUCCAUUUGGCUGAAGGAGGGAAGCUAAACUCAUGGAAAUAUUGAUAGAAACAAUUCAGCAUAGGAAUUUGCAUUUAUAACUUACCUUGUUCUGUCCCACGUGAAAAUCAAGAUGGGAAAUUUUAAGUAUAGCACAGGGUGUAGAUAAUUCUCAAUACCACGUGUGAAGAUUCAUUUAUCAGUGUAACUACCUAUGAUAUUUUAGCUAGAAGAUAAAGGUAAAUGAAAUCAUAGCCGAAUCACUGUUUUUCAUUCUGGUGGUUAUGAGGAUGAACUUGCUAUUUGUCUUGAUACACUGAAAGCCCUUCAAACGCAAUAAAAAGAUAAGAUUAUUCACCUUUAAACCGAGGCCUUUGGGGAACCUUUUGUAAAGGGCAGUGAUGAGUGAACCUUUUAACGGCAGUACAGCAACCGUCCAGGAAGAGGCGGGGACCUCAGGGACUGUUUGGUUUGUUUUGUUUUGGUUUGUUUUUUAAAUGAAACUGCAGAGCCCAGGGAAUGAAUUGAGGUGCUUUCUCCACUCCCAGGACGGAUCAUACGUGCAGAGGUAGAGGAGGGGGAGGGCGCUGAAUAAAAGAAGAUAGUGAACGCGCUUUGCUGUGAUGACGGUUCUCCAACAGGCAGGGUUAGCAUGGGGACUAGCGUGUCUCACGUGGGCUUUCAUCUCCCCGUCAGGUUCCCGGCUGGUGGGCUCAGACUCUGUGAAGGGGGGUCUUUUCCCUGCAUUCCUGCCGGACCUAGUGCCCUGCAGUGAGGAUCCUGCAGACCUGGGGCUCAUAUCAGCAGGCCAGUCCAUCCGCUCUCAUUUCAGAAAAGCCCUUUUGUGAUUCAGGUAGGGGAAGAGGAGUUCAGGGCUCCUUUUACUCCCAAGUCAUGGAUUUUUAAUAUUCCGUUUGUAUUACCAAUAUACCUCUGUUCCCCGGAGCUACUGGGGUACAGAGUGCUGUGGGAAAAGGCUAACUGUGAAUUUAGCUGUUUUCCUUAUGAGAAAUGGAAGUUUAUUUUUAUAUCGAUAUUACUCUGUGAUGAAUUGAGUAUGCAGAUGUUGGAAGGAAAUUUCAAAACUAUAAUCCUAGGAGAAACGGGCAGUAUUGCAAUUGGGAAGCAGCUGAGACCCCAUAAGAGUUUUGUUAUUUAAAUGUUUUGGUGAGUGACUAAGGACUGUCCUGUGAAAUCUAACAAACAGCCUCUUGAGGAGAUAAAGUUGACAGUCCGAUGGAGGAUGACACACAUUCACCAACCUCAAGUAAGAUUCUUGUAUGAAAAGGGGGGGUGAAUGUGAUCAUGCUGAUUACUAGGCCUCUUAGCUGGGGGGAGAUGAGAGGCAGGGGUAGUUUUAUAACUGGCACUUUGACUCAUUUGUGGAGCCUGGAACACAGGGGCCAUUUGGUGAAACUGCACAUUUAGAAAGGAAAUAAGAAUUUUCCAGAGCUAGAUAGAGAAAUGAUGAUGGGAGAAGUAAAGCCCUGCUUUCAUCUCUUUAGCAUUUAUUCUAGAAGCUCAGCAUAUAGUGGGCUUUUAGAGGUAGUAGGAUCUAAAUUCAGAAAAUUUAUUUAACUACCAUGGAAGGGUAGGCAUGGAUUACUACCUCUGUUUGCUGUGGAAUAUGCCUCUUUAGACUAAUGGUCCAUCUACUUUGCUUUCUAAGGACAGUUGGGGGAUGCAGGGGUGGGGUGUAGGGUAUCAUGAACUAGCCGGAGAUGAUCCACAAAAUGAAAAAUCCACACACAGGUCACCGAGGUCACUGGUUGUUAACAUAUACCAUUGACAGACAUUGGAGUGAAAACUCCUUCCUUUGGCCACAUCAAGCAAAGAGAAAAGUCUCAAAAAAUUGUGAAGGCAGCAUCAGGAAAUGAGUUUUGGUCUAGCCCUCCAGGACCAGUGAGGAAAGCUGUAGAGUCUCUGUGCUUUUGAACAGACUGGGUAGGAGACUUUAGGGGUACAGAGUAGAGGAAAAACAAAACUAACCUCCUUUGUUUAUCCCAAGCUCGUUGGCUAAAUUUUUUUAUAGGUCUGAGAGAGAAACCUUUUUUUGAGAAAGAAAUAGUUGUAAAAGCCUUGGGAAAAGUUCUGUUUUUUCCAAGUUAGGAUCAGCAUAGUCUCCCUGUCGCCUUAAAUGUCAAACCCCUAUUUCGAUUAAUACCCCAGUGUAAGAGUUACAGCAAUAAGAGAAACGGAAUCUGUUUUUGUUUCAAGUGUUUACCUCAUAGUAUGAAAUUAGUAAGACAGUUCUUAGAUCUCACCCUGAAUAUACUGCAUCUGGGUAUGUUUGUUGUUCUCUCUCUUCAUUUUAAAGGCCCAAAGGAAGCUGGGGUUCAUCCCGAGAGUAAAUGUUUCUUGAAUGGAUUUUGUUCUGUGGUACAAAUAACAUCUGUGUAUAUCAUGUGUGUAUAUAUCUGAACCACAUUGUAUGCAGAGAGGUUGAUAUAACUAUAUCUACGGAAAACAGUUUUUACAAUUAAAAGUCACAUUUUAACAUGAACAUGCGUGCUGCAGUCCUUCACUUGGUCCCACAGUGUGGCUUGUGGCAGGAAGGAGCAACAGCGCAGGGCGCGAGCAGAUCCAUGGCGCGCAACACCGACCUCACUUACGGUCAUGAUGGAAGAAGCCAGAGCUGGUGCCUGUCCUCCUUGAGGCCAUGGUCUGGAUACACGUUCUCCAGGUAAUGGAAACCGAAGUUGGAAAUAACUGUCCCCAUUCCAUCAGAAAAGCCAGGACUGUGCACCCUCCAUCAUAUCAGACAACUUCUGGAGAAGGACCCCCACGGAGACCAAAGCUUUUUUGUUUCACAUCUUCCUCCUACUAAAGGUUACUUUAAAACAAACAUUAUAUACUGAGACACACACACACACACAUUUUAUUUUUAACCUUCUGGGGAGUUACUUAUUUUAAGGCAGUAGAGACUCAAUUCCUAACAUUGUUAGCUCUGUGUUCCAAGCCAGGUUCCUACCUUCCAAGUGACAUGACCAUGUAUUACCUAGUUCCUAGGGUUGUGAGAACACAGCUAAUCAGUCACACGUGUAAAGCACUGGCACAAAGUAAUUACAACCAUGCAUACAAAUUGGCCAUGGGGUUAAGCAAAAGGCCUUAUACUGAACUAUAUUUCAUAUAAAAUAUCUGCUCUGUUUUUAAUAGAAAUACUCUUGGUUUUUGAGUGAAAUGAGUGAGUCUGACAAAAGGUUUGUACUAAACAAGAAGGGGGGACUCGGGUUUUCCUCGGACCCCUCAGCAUUCCAGGUCUAGCUGACGAGGGUCUCUCAUAGCUGCUGAAACCUCCUUUACGUGGGUCUUAUAUGGAAGGACAACAGAAAGAAGGCGAUAGAUGAUGAGGCAACCAUGUUCUCGGUAAAUAGAAUCAAGAAAACAAAAUUUGAACUAGGACAUAUUUACAUUUAAAAAUGAAUAAAAAAUACUAAUCUGAAUUAAAUAUCCUUCCCCAAUCAUAUGUUCCAUUAUUUCUAUGGAAAAAUUAGAAUCACUAAAACACAUACAUGCUGGUAGCCAAGAUUCUAUGCUGGUCUUUUGUACUCUAUAAUAGAACCAAUAUAUGCCAGAUUCUCUUGGCUUAUGUAGACUGUAUAUUCUUACACCACAGCACUCCCUCUCCCCUCCAUGGGUAGUAUGGAGUGGCUGCUCCUUAGACUGCAUGUUUGGACCUGCCUGCUUUUUGUUUUGUUGUUUUUGCAAAAGCACAGCUUUUAACACCACUCUGAAGAACACAGAGGUAAACAGGUAAGCAUUAUUUUAUGGGCUUUGCAGUCACGGUCUUUUCAUAGCUGCUUUAUAAUCCUUUAAGUGUUGGUCUUCACUCUCCAAGGGGUUCGUGGGUGCAGGCGUAUGCACUGUCCUAAAACUGAUCUACCUGAGGGUGAGCCAGCCAGUUCUCCUUUCCCUCUUCCCCCUUGUGCAAUUUUCCUUCCUCUUUACAAAAAGAAAACCUUACGUCUCAUCCAGCUUACUGUGGUGCACUGCCCUCUGGACUAUAAAAACCUCAGGGGCACCAAAAUGAUUAUCACGCCUAGCUAACGAAUCCUUAGCAAGGUAGGUAGUUUCUAGUUCUCUGUCUUCAACAAACCAGAGGAGGAGCUAAUCAAGCUGUUGAUAGGUCACUGUGAUUUUUGAUACGCAACUCGAAAGAACUACAUGACACUGUUACAACAGAGUUUUUUCUAUCCCAUCUGCUUAUUUAUAUAUUUACAUCUAUAAGGUUAAGCCUUGUUUCAUCUUAGCUGUAAAUAACGUGCUUUUGGGAGGAGACAAAAUGGUGGAAUAGAAUGACGUGGGCUCACCUCUUCUUACGGAAACAGAAUCACAACUAACUGCUGAACAACCAUCGACCAAAAAAAAAAAAACGCUGGAACCUACCAGAAAAGAUACCCUAUAUCCAAAGACAAAGAAGAAGCCACAAUGAGAUGGUAGGAGGGGCACAAUCGUGAUAAAAUCAAACCCCGUACAUGCCAGGUGGGCAACCCACAAACUGGAAAAUAAUUACACCACAGAAGUUCUCCCACAGGAGUAAAAGUUCUGAGCCCCACGUCAGGCUCCCCAGCCUGGGGGUCUGGCAACAGGAGGAGGAGCUCCCAGAGAAGCUGGCUUUGAAGGCCAGCGAGGUUUGAUUGCAGGAAUUCCACAGGACUGGAGGAAACAGAAACUCCACUCUUGGAAGGGCACACACAGGGUCUCAUGUGCACCAGGAUCCAGGGAAAAAGCAGAGACCUCAUAACUUACCUGCUGGUAGUGGAGGGUCUCCUGCAGAGGCGGGAGGCAGCUGUGUCUCACUGUGGAGACAAGGACACUGGCAGCAGUAGUUCUGGAGAGUAUUCAUUGGCAUGAGCCCUCUUGGAGGCCACCAUUUUCUCACCAGGACCUCGCCCCACCCAACAGCCAGUGCUAGGACGCCUCAGGCCAAACUACCAACAGGGUGGGAACGCAGCCCCACCCAUCAACAGGUAGGCUACUUAAAGUCCUGCUGAGAACACAGCUGCCCGAUAAACACAACCCCUGACACGGCCUUGCCCACCAGAGGGACAAGACCCAGCUCCACCCACGAGUGCGCAGGCACCAGUCCCUCCCACCAGGAAGCCUGCACAAGCCUCUUAGACAGCCUCAGCCACCAGGGGGCAGACUGCACAAGCAAGAAGAACUACAACUGCAGCCUGCAGGAUGGAAACCACAAUCACAGAAAGUUAGGCAAAAUGAGAUGGCAGAGGAAUAUGUCCCAGAUGAAGGAACAAGAUAAAACCCCAGAAAAACAACUAAGAGAUAGGCAAUCCACCUGAAGAAUUCAGAGUAAUGACAGUAAAGAUGACCCAAGAUCUCAGAAAAGAAUGCAGAUACAGAUCAAGAAGGUACAAGAAAUGUUUAACAAAGAGCUAAAAGAUUAAAAGAACAAAUAGAGAUUAACAAUACAAUAACUGAAAUGAAAAAUACACUAGAAGGAAUCAGCAGAAUAAAUGAGGCAGAAGAACAAAUAAGUGAACUGGAAGACAGAAUGGUGGAAAUCACUGCCAUGGAACAGAAGAGAAAAGAAUGAAAAGAAAUGAGGAAAAUCCAGGAGACCUCUGGGACAACAUUAAACACCCCAACAUCUGCAUUAUGAGAAUCCCAGAAGGAGCAGAGAGAGGGCACCUGAGAAAAUAUUUGAGGAGAUAAUAGCUGAAAACUUCCCUAGUAUGGGAAAGGAAACAGUCACCCAAGUCCAGGAAGCACAGAGUCCCAGGCAGGAUAAACCCAAGGAGGAACAUGCUGAGACACAUAGCAAUCAAACUGGCAAAAAUUGAAGACAAAAAAUAUUAAAAGCAACAAGGGAAAUGCAACAUAUAAUGUACAAGGGAAUUCCCGUAAGGUCAUCAGCUGAUUUCUCAGCAGAAACCCUGCAGGCCAGAAGGGAGUGGCACGAUAUAUUUAAAGUGAUGAAAGGGAAGAACCUACAACCAAGAAUACUCUACCCUGCAAGGCUCUCCUUCAGAUUUGAUGGAGAUAUCAAAAGCUUUACAGACAAGCAAAAGCUAAGAGAAUUCAGCACCACCAAAUCAGCUUUGCAACAAAUGCUAAAGGAACUCCUCUAGGCAGAAAAGAAAAGGCCACAACUAGAAACAAGAAAAUUAUGAAUGGAAAAGCUCACCAGUAAAGGCAAACAUACAGAAAAGGGAGGAAAUCAUCUGUACACAAAUAUAUCAAAACCAGUAACUGUAAGAAGACAGCACAAAUGCAGGAUAUUGGAAAUGCAUUUGAAAUUAAAAGACCAGCGACUUAUAGCAGUCUAUAUAUAAACAAGAUUGUUUUAUCAAAACCUCACGGUAACUGCAAACCAAAAAUCUACGAUAGAUAACACACACAGAAAGGAAAAAGGAAUCCAAACACAACACUAAAAGUCAUGAAAUCACAAGAGAACAAGAGGAAGGAAAGACAUAAACAAAAUGAAAAGACAACCCACAGGAUGGCAGAAAAUAUCUGCAAACGAUGUGACUGAUAAGGGAUUAAUCUCCAGACAGCUCAUGUGACUCAAUAUCAAAAAAACAACCCAGUCCAAAACUGGGCAGAAGGCCUAAAUAGACAUUUCUCCAAAGAAGACAUACAGACACGUGAAAAGAUGCUUAACAUCACUAAUUAUUAGAGAAAUGCAAAUCAAAACUACAAUGAGGUAUCACUUCACACCAGUCAGAAUGGCCAUCAUCAAAAAGUCUACCAAUAAUAAAUGUUGGAGAGGGUGUGGAGAAAAGGGAACCCUCUUGCACUGUUGGUGGCAACGUAAAUUGGUACAGCCACUAUGGAGAACAGUAUGGAGAUUCCUUAAGAAACUAAAAAUAGAACUACCGUAUGAUCCAGCAAUCCCACUCCUGGGCAUAUAUCUUGAGAAAAACAUGGUUCGAAAGGAUACACGCACCCCAGUGUUCACCGCAGUGCUGUUUACAAUAGCCAAGACACGGAAGCAACCUAAAUGUCCAUCGACAGAGGAAUGGAUAAAGAAGAUGUGGUACAUAUGUACAAUGGAAUGAAUGAAAUAAUGCCAUUUGCAGAAACAUGGGUGGACCUGGAGAUUAUCAUACUAAGUGAUAUAAGUCAGAGAAAGACAUAACAUGUGAUAGCGCCUAUAUGCAGAAUCUUAAAAAAAAAUGAUACAAAUGAACUUAUUUACAAAACAGAGACAGACUUAGAGAAGGAACUUAUGGUUACUAGGGGGAAAGACAGGGGGAAAGAUUGGGAGUUUGGGAUUGACAUGUACACACUGCUAUAUUUAAAAUAGAUAACCAACAAGGACCUGCUUGUAUAGCACAGGGAGCUCUGCUCAGUACUCUGCAAUAAACUAAUGGGAAAAGAAUCUGAAAAAGAAUAGAUACAUGUAUAUGUAUAACUGAAUCACUUCACUGUACACCUGAAACUAACAACAUUGUUAAUCAACUAUA